rnacentral:rRNA from 1 species
GUAGGUGGCAAGCGUUGUCCGGGAAUUAUUGGGGCGUAAAGCGCGCGCAGGCGGUUCUUUAAGUCUGAUGUGAAAGCCCACGGGCUCAACCGUGGAGGGUCAUUGGAAACUGGAGAACUUGAGUACAGAAGAGGAAAGCGGCAUUCCACGUGUAGCGGUGAAAUGCGUAGAGAUGUGGAGGAACACCAGUGGCGAAGGCGGCUUUCUGGUCUGUAACUGACGCUGAGGCGCGAAAGCGCGGGGAGCAAACAGGAUUAGAUACCCUGGUAGUCCACGCCGUAAACGAUGAGUGCUAAGUGUUAGGGGGUUUCCGCCCCUUAGUGCUGCAGCUAACGCAUUAAGCACUCCGCCUGGGGAGUACGGCCGCAAAGGCUG